UGAGAUAUCUGUCCAGUGGAGGGAA
rnacentral:piRNA from 2 species